rnacentral:rRNA from 1 species
CACGUAGUUGGCCGGUGCUUCUUCUCCCACUACCGUCACUUUCGCUUCGUCAUGGGUGAAAGAGGUUUACAACCCGAAGGCCGUCAUCCCUCACGCGGCGUUGCUGGAUCAGGCUUUCGCCCAUUGUCCAAUAUUCCCCACUGCUGCCUCCCGUAGGAGUCUGGGCCGUGUCUCAGUCCCAGUGUGGCCGGUCACCCUCUCAGGCCGGCUACCCGUCGAAGCCUUGGUAGGCCAUUACCCCACCAACAAGCUGAUAGGCCGCGAGCCCAUCCACCACCGCCGAAACUUUCCACCACCAUCAGAUGCCUGAGAUGGUCGUAUCCGGUAUUAGCACCGGUUUCCCGGAGUUAUCCCGAAGUGAUGGGCAGAUUGCUCACGUGUUACUCACCCGUUCGCCGCUCGUGUACCUCCGAAGACGGCCUUACCGCUCGACUUGCAUGUGUUAAGCACGCCGCCAGCGUUCGUCCUGAGCCAGAGUACAAACUCU